CAAAGCCGCGAGGCAGAGCAAACCCCUAAAAAGCCAUCCCAGUUCGGAUUGCAGGCUGCAACCCGCCUGUAUGAAGUUGGAAUCGCUAGUAAUCGCGGAUCAGCAUGCCGCGGUGAAUACGUUCCCGGGCCUUGUACACACCGCCCGUCACACCAUGAGAGUCGGGAACACCCGAAGUCCGUAGCCUAACCGCAAGGAGGGCGCGGCCGAAGGUGGGUUCGAUAAUUGGGGUGAAGUCGUAACAAGGUACC
rnacentral:rRNA from 1 species